rnacentral:rRNA from 1 species
UUGGCCUUGACAUACUAAGAACUUUCCAGAGAUGGAUUGGUGCCUUCGGGAACUUAGAUACAGGUGCUGCAUGGCUGUCGUCAGCUCGUGUCGUGAGAUGUUGGGUUAAGUCCGCAACGAGCGCAACCCUUUUCCUUAUUUGCCAGCGGGUAAUGCCGGGAACUUUAAGGAUACUGCCAGUGACAAACUGGAGGAAGGCGGGGACGACGUCAAGUCAUCAUGGCCCUUACGGCCAGGGCUACACACGUGCUACAAUGGUCGGUACAAAGGGUUGCUACCUCGCGAGAGGAUGCUAAUCUCAAAAAGCCGAUCGUAGUCCGGAUCGCAGUCUGCAACUCGACUGCGUGAAGUCGGAAUCGCUAGUAAUCGCGGAUCAGAAUGCCGCGGUGAAUACGUUCCCGGGCCUUGUACACACCGCCCGUCACACCAUGGGAGUUUGUUGCACCAGAAGUAGGUAGUCUAACCGCAAGGAGGACGCUUACCACGGUGUGGCCGAUGACUGGGGUGAAGUCGUAACAAGGUAGGCGUAGAUGA